AUCUAGCCGACGAGUCCCAAAUAGGACGAAACACGCGUCCUUGAU
rnacentral:hammerhead_ribozyme from 1 species